GGCAGGAGAAAAAAGUCCAUUUUUUCUUGUCCCCUAAGGUGAAAAUACACAUUGUUGAGUGUCACGCCUAUACGCUUUGUCAAAAUGACACAAAAAUUGACACACACAUGUAACUCAAUAAGAUCUACGAAAAAGUCAAUGCGUGCGUAUCUGUCAAAUGUACGGUUAAAGGGUUAUUCCGCAUUUUUUGCCGAUCCGCACACAUUGGAAUUUCGUUAACUCCUCCGAAGGCUUUCUGUCCACCGGCACCACAUUUGCUCAGGCCAAUCUACACCCCAUGGCCAUUAAAAGUUAUUCAAAUCAUGACGCUGCAUCCCACGGUUUAGGUUCUAGGGGGCGCCAAAGACAACCCUAAAAUCCACAUAUUUAAAAGUCUUAUAACUUUUUAUUUUUGUCCUCACUGGCCUCCAAGUUUUCUAGGAUGAUGCAAUGUCCAGCCAUCAACACAUUUGUGAAGGAAUUUUUACUCCCCAAAAGAGCGCCCCCCCAUGGCAGGAGAAAAAAGUCAAUUUUUUCUUGUCCCCUAAGGUGGAAAUUCACACUAUUGACUGUCACGCCUGUACGCUUUAUCAUAUUGACACAAAAAUUGACACACAUAUGUAUCUCAAUAAGAUCUACAAAAAAGUCAAUGCGCGCGUAUCUGUCAAAUGUACGGUUAAAGGGCUAUUUUGCAUUUUUUGCCGAUUCGCACACAUUGGAAUGUGGCUAACUCCUCCUAAGGCUUUCGUCCCACUGACACCAAAUUUGCUCAGGCCAAUCUACACCCCAUGGCCAUUCAAAGUUGUAAAAAUCAUGACGCUGCACCCCACGGUUUACGUUCUAGGGGGCGCCAAAGAUGACCCAAAAAUCCACAUUCUUCAAAGAAUCCACCCCCCCCCCCCCAUAUGGCAGGAGAAAAAGUUAAGUUUUUCCUGCCCAUCGCUCAAUGGCUCAAUCGCAUCGCUCUCCAGGCAACACCGUAAGGAGGAGCAACCUGCCAUUUCGAUAUAUCAUAGCUGUGUUUGUGCCCUCACUCAUGGUCCAGACUUUUUUCAAAUAGGACAUGAAGUUUGUCUGCAGCGAGUGUUUUGGUAGAAACUGCGCCUCCCAUUCAUUAUAAUAGGAAAUGACCACAGACAAGUGCGCACACCAUCUUUGGAUCUUGAGUGUGACGCGAUCGGUAGGGGGAGGCGGUCGCACUGGGGGCGGCGCAACAAGGCUCGGGCCCGACAGUGCCCCAACGGGGUCCUAGUUAUUAUUUUUCCUCCCCUUUGAACUGGAAAAUGGCCCACUUCCCACUGGCGAAAACUCAUGAAAUUUGGCAGGACGACCGGGCCCGGUGAAAAAUUUGAUAUUCCGAAGUCGCCCAAACAAGAAAAUGCAAAAUGGCUCCAUAGCGCCCCCUAAGGUGAAAAUUCACACUAUUGACUGUCACGCCGGUACGCUUUGUCAAAAUGACACAAAAAUUGACACACACAUGUAUCUCAAUAAGAUCUACAAAAAAGUCAGUGCGGGCGUAUCUGUCAAAUGUACGGUUAAAGGGUUAUUUCGCAUUUUUUUCCGAUCCGCACACAUUGGAAUUUCGCUAACUCCUCCGAAGGCUUUCGUUCCACCGGCACCACAUUUGCUCAGGCCAAUCUACACCCCAUGGCCAUUAAAAGUUAUUCAAAUCAUGACGCUGCACCCCACGGUUUAGGUUCUAGGGGGCGCCAAAGAUAACCCUAAGAUCCACAUAUUUAAAAGUCUUAUAACUUUUUAUUUUUGCCCUCACUGGCCUCCAAGUUUUCUAGGAUGAUGCAAUGUCCAGCCAUCAACACAUUUGUGAAGGAAUUUUUACUCCCCAAAAGAGCGCCCCCCCAUGGCAGGAGAAAAAAGUCCAUUUUUUCUUGUCCCCUAAGGUGAAAAUACACAUUGUUGAGUGUAACACCUGUACGCUUUGGCAAAAUGACACAAAAAUUGACACACACAUGUAUCUCAAUAAGAUCUACGAAAAAGUCAAUGCGCGCGUAUCUGUCAAAUGUACGGUUAAAGGGUUAUUCCGCAUUUUUUGCCGAUCCGCACACAUUGGAAUUUUGCUAACUCCUCCGAAGGCUUUCGUUCCACCGGCACCACAUUUGCUCAGGCCAAUCUACACCCCAUGGCCAUUAAAAGUUAUUCAAAUCAUGACGCUGCACCCCACGGUUUAGGUUCUAGGGGGAGCCAAAGAUAACCGUAAAAUCCACAUAUUUAAAAGUCUUAUAACUUUUUAUUUUUGUCCCCACUGGCCUCCAAGUUUUCUAGGAUGAUGCAAUGUCCAGCCAUCAACACAUUUGUGAAGGAAUUUUUACUCGGCAAAAGAGCGCCCCCCCAUGGCAGGAGAAAAAAGUCAAUUUUUUCUUGUCCACUAAGGUGAAAAUACACAUUGUUGAGUGCUACGCCUGUAUGUUUUGUCGUAUUGACACAAAAUUUUACAUACACGUGUAUUUACAUAAGAUCUUCGAAAAAGUCAAUGGCCACGUAUCUGUAAAAUGUACGGUUAAAGGGUUAUUUCGCAUUUUUUGCAGAUUCGCACACAUUGGAAUUUCGCUAAUUCCUCCGAAGGCUUUCGUUCCACCGGCACCACAUUUGCUCAGGCCAAUCUACACCCCAUGGCCAUUAAAAGUUAUUCAAAUCAUGACGCUGCACCCCACGGUUUAGGUUCUAGGGGGCGCCAAAUAUAACCCUAAAAUCCACAUAUUUAAAAGUCUUAUAACUUUUUAUUUUUGUCCUCACUGGCCUCCAUGUUUUCUAGGAUGAUGCAAUGUCCAGCCAUCAACACAUUUGUGAAGGAGUUUUUUCUCUUUAAAAGAGCGCCCCCCAUGGCAGGAGAAUAAAGUCAAGUUUUUCCUGUUCAUCAUUCAAUGGCUCAAACGCACUGCUCUCUCGGCAAAAGCGAAAGGAGGAGCAACUUGCCAUUUGGAUAUAUCUUAGCUGUGUUUGUGCCCUCACUCAUGGUCCAGACUUUUUUCAAAUAGGACAUGGAGUUUUUCUGCAGCGAGCGUUUUGGUAGAAACUGCGCCUCCCGUUCAUUAUAAUGGUAAAUGACCACAAACAAGUGCGCACACCAUCUUUGGACCUUGAGUGUGACGCGCUCGGGUGGGGGAGGUGGUCGCGCUGGGGGCGGCGUGACACGGCUCGGGCCCGCCAGUGCCCCAACGGGGCCCUAGUUAGGGCCCGAGCCAGCUGCAGAGCAGCCGGGCGUAGGCCCUGUUAUUCCUGUAGGGGUUUUUCUUUGUUUCUUUCUUUCUUCUUUUUCCUCCCCUUUGAACUGGAAAAUGGCCCACUUCCCACUGGCGAAAACUCAGGAAAUUUGGCAGGACGACCGGGCCUGGUGAAAAAUUUGAUAUUCCGAAGUCGCCCAAACAAGAAAAUUCAAAAUGGCUCCAUAGCGCCCCCUAAGGUGAAAAUUCACACUAUUGACUGUCACGCCUGUACGCUUUGUCAAAAUGACACAAAAAUUGACACACACAUGUAUCUCAAUAAGAUCUACAAAAAAGUCAGUGCGGGCGUAUCUGUCAAAUGUACGGUUAAAGGGUUAUUUCGCAUUUUUUGCCGAUCCGCACACAUUGGAAUUUCGCUAACUC
rnacentral:lncRNA from 1 species